UUUUUUAGGGACAUAAUUUUGUUGGUUUUUGGUUGGGAUUUAGUACAAAGACCUUGGUUGGCGGAGAGAGUGAGGUUUUUGGGGCCUUGUGCUUUAAGUUUGUGAUGUAAUUUCUCCGGAGUUCUUGGUUCGCUGAACAACUUUGGGCGCCAUUUAUUGCCACGUGGCAACUUUUUAUGAAGCACUCUCUCUCCGUUUGACUUGGUGCACUGCCUCCUCGUGCAUAUUCUCACGGGGGACAUGCUGAUGAUACAACUUUAAAUUCAACGGUCGCUACAUGCUGGUACUGAAAUUACUUUAUUGGCCCUCACUCACGAAAUGAUUUACUAACAUAGGCUGUCUUGCUACGAGUCGAGGAUUGACAGUGGUUGGUGUAAGUGAGAUGAAAUGAAAAUGUUUUUGAUGUAUUUAAUACACCGUUGUGACAUGUUAAUUUAGCAUAUUAAUUAUUAGUUUGAAUAGUACCAUACGUACAACAAACAUAUGAC
rnacentral:lncRNA from 1 species